CCACCCGAUGGCCCCGGGGUACCAAACAAACCCUCCUCCCAGGGGCAGCCAUAGCAAUGCUACCAAUCCCAGGAAACCCACCCCUGUUCAUUUUCUCACUCACCCACACACCCCCCAGCAGCUAUUUAUCCAGUCACUACCCCGCGCUGGAGAAGCCAGAAUCUGACAGACACAGCACACAGCCACACAUGCUCACAGCCUCAGAGAAUCCCAGAGCCCUCCGGUGAAGACUCGGGUGAAGCUGAUGGAGAUCGAGGAGGGUUGACUUGGGGUGGAGGCUCCCUGCUGUGGAGAGGGGACAGAGCAGGGCAUGGGAGCUCAGGAUGCGCUGGGCACUCAUGACACGCCAGGGACCCUGGAAGGUCCUUUGCAUAGGUGCUCAUCUUUCUCAUGGCUCUGAGAGAAAGGUGCUAGGCUCUGUCCCUGCCACUUUCCAGAUGAGGAAACUGAGACAGGAGUGUUUGAAGAACUCGCCAAUUCACCCAAGCAGCACAGCCACACAGAGGAGCAACAGUGUGGCACUAAGCCAGGGACGAUGGAGGAAAGAAGAGAAAGACAGGAGCAAUGGCCUUCAGUGCUCCUCUUCCCAGCCCAACACCUGGCCGGCUAGGAUGGCAGAGGCUCAACGACUGCCACUGUGCCUGGCCUCUAGUUAACGCCUGAGAAAGCUGACUCCUUCCACCCUCUGAGCAGCAAGUUCCCUCCCGCCUGGUAAACUCACUCCUCUGCCAUCCUGUCCGGUAGCAGCCCUCUGUUCUGGUAAAAUUCUGCCCUCUCCUGUGGGUCCAGAGGGGGCACUAAGGCUGCCCAGCCCUGGACCGUGGCCUCCUUACCUGGGCACAGAGGGAGCACAGGAUUCCAGCCCUGCAGGCACUUGGCUCCUAGCAGCAGCCAGACAGAGGCGUGGGGCAGGCGGAGGGAGGGGAGGAGUGAGGCUGAGGGAGGAAACAGCUGUCAGCUCCAGUGUGUGUGCGCGCACGUGUGUGUGCAUGUGCUUGUGUGUCUGUCUGGGGGCGGGAGGCAGUGAUAGCCAGAGAUUGAGCUCUCACGCUGGUGAUCGAGAACCAUUCAUCCAUCUGCCAGCAGCCCCUGCUCCACCGAGUCCUUUAUGGAGGAGUCUUUGCAGCCCAAGGACACUGCGAGUGUGCACGGGGCCAUCCCUGUGUGCAGCAAAGUGGGGACUCGGUAUGUCCAGGGGUGUGCUUUGGAGUGACCAGCGUGCAGGAGGAUGAGGACUAUGCCUUGCCCUGCUUUCCACCCUCCUUGGACCGCUCUCUUCUGACACCGUAGUCCUCAGAGAGGAAGGUCCCCAAGUGGCAUGGGUGCCUGUGCACCAGGGACCCCAGGAAAGCAGGGGGAUAGGAGGAGCAUGGGAGGCCUGGCCACCAGCGCUGGCCCCACACCCACAGCCAGAGGCCGGUCACUUCCCCUUGCUGAGCCCCGCGUUGUCAUCUGUGAGCAGGACCAGUGUCUGCUUUGAGGCAGAGGCGAGGGCUGGCCGAGGGGAGUCAGGGGGCUCCGCCACUGACCCAUCCCCAGCCCUUUUUUGUAUUUUUUUUAGAGGAGAGAGUAAGGGCUCGAAAAAAUUAGCUUCUUCCCCCGCUGGGGGAGAAAUGGGCACAGGCUAGAGGCCAAGGCUGUCCGGGUUUCAUUUAGAAUAGGCUGGAAGCCCUGGGGUAAGAGAACUUUGAAUCCUGUAGUUUGCACUUCAUCGUUCCCUAACCUCGCCCUCUGCUUUGCUUUUGGGGGUCAGACUCCCUUUCUUCACAGCAGCCCGCAGAUGCUCAAUAAAACAUGUCAAGACCGAGUCAGGACAGAGGGCAGGGUGUCCCACUGAGGCCUGGGCUGGCGCCCAGCCUGGGUGGAGGGUGGAUGAGCAGGACAGCACUUCUCCCAGCCCCGGUGGUGAAGCAGCGGGGACCUUGCUCACCCGGCCUCUGCCCUGGGCCAGGGAGGCCUGGACGUCCAAACACAGAGGCCUGCAGCCUCCCGAGAAACAGGUGGCUGUUUCCACCCACCCUGGGGAAGUGCCCCCAUCCCUGCCCCCCCACUGAUCCAUGGGAAGGCCAUUCAGGCAGGGCGCAGGGUGCUGAGGCCCCAGGACCCUGCAGCCAGACCGCCAGUGUCUGCAUCCGGCACUGCCUCUUCCUAGCUAUGCGACGAGGCGAGGAGCUUCAGGCGGUAUGAUGUGACUCUGGGGGCCAGCGGGGGCGGAGGGGAUACCCGAGAUGAACUUGGGGCGCUCCACCGCUGAGCCACAUCCCCAGCCCUUUUCUGUAUUUUAUUUAGAGACGGGGUCCCACUGAGACUUCGCACCUCGCUUUUGCCGAGGCUGGCUUUGAAUUCGUGAUCCUCCAGCCUCAGCCUCCUGAGCCAUUGGAAUUACAGGCGUGCGCCACCGCACCCGCAAGAUGUGAAUUUUAAAAGACAUAUCUCAGCCUAGGGCAUCAGGCUGGACAUGAGGCACAGGCCUCUCUCUGGAUCUCAGCCAUCUCCUGACUCCUCCAACCAGUCACCCUUGUGCAGUGAACAUCCCGCACCACCUCUCAUGGCAGCCCCUUUGUUCAUUUCCAGCUAAAAUCUUUAUUCCUCUGAAACUUCUCUGUUCUUGUUUCCAAUCCUGGAAUCAUUGUCAUGGCUUGGUUCCCAGCCCUCCCUGAGGACAACUUAUUCUAA